rnacentral:rRNA from 1 species
UAGGGAAUCUUCGGCAAUGGACGAAAGUCUGACCGAGCAACGCCGCGUGAGUGAAGAAGGUUUUCGGAUCGUAAAACUCUGUUGUUAGAGAAGAACAAGGACGUUAGUAACUGAACGUCCCCUGACGGUAUCUAACCAGAAAGCCACGGCUAACUACGUGCCAGCAGCCGCGGUAAUACGUAGGUGGCAAGCGUUGUCCGGAUUUAUUGGGCGUAAAGCGAGCGCAGGCGGUUUCUUAAGUCUGGUGUGAAAGCCCCCGGCUCAACCGGGGGGGGUCAUUGGAAACUGAGAGACUUGAGUGCAGAAGAGGAGAGUGGAAUUCCAUGUGUAGCGGUGAAAUGCGUAGAUAUAUGGAGGAACACCAGUGGCGAAGGCGGCUCUCUGGUCUGUAACUGACGCUGAGGCUCGAAAGCGUGGGGAGCAAACAGG